rnacentral:rRNA from 1 species
ACACGGCCCAGACUCCUACGGGAGGCAGCAGUGGGGAAUAUUGCACAAUGGGCGAAAGCCUGAUGCAGCGACGCCGCGUGAGGGAUGACGGCCUUCGGGUUGUAAACCUCUUUCAGCAGGGAAGAAGCGAAAGUGACGGUACCUGCAGAAGAAGCGCCGGCUAACUACGUGCCAGCAGCCGCGGUAAUACGUAGGGCGCAGGCGUUGUCCAGAAUUAUUGGGCGUAAAGAGCUCGUAGGCGGCUUGUCACGUCGGUUGUGAAAGCCCGGGGCUUAACCCCGGGUCUGCAGUCGAUACGGGCAGGCUAGAGUUCGGUAGGGGAGAUCGGAAUUCCUGGUGUAGCGGUGAAAUGCGCAGAUAUCAGGAGGAACACCGGUGGCGAAGGCGGAUCUCUGGGCCGAUACUGACGCUGAGGAGCGAAAGCGUGGGGAGCGAACAGGAUUAGAUACCCUGGUAGUCCACGCCGUAAACGGUGGGCACUA